rnacentral:rRNA from 1 species
CCUACGGGUGGCAGCAGUGAGGAAUAUUGGUCAAUGGACGAGAGUCUGAACCAGCCAAGUAGCGUGAAGGAUGACUGCCCUCUGGGUUGUAAACUUCUUUUAUAUGGGAAUAAAAUGUUCCACGUGUGGGAUUUUGUAUGUACCAUAUGAUUAAGGAACGGCUAACUCCGUGCCAGCAGCCGCGGUAAUACGGAGGAUCCGAGCGUUAUCCGGAUUUAUUGGGUUUAAAGGGAGCGUAGGUGGAUUGUUAAGUCAGUUGUGAAAGUUUGCGCCUCAACCGUAAAAUUGCAGUUGAAACUGGCAGUCUUGAGUACAGUAGAGGUGGGAGGAAUUCGUGGUGUAGCGGUGAAAUGCUUAGAUAUCACGAAGAACUCCGAUUGCGAAGGCAGUUCACUGGACUGCAACUGACACUGAGGCUCGAAAGUGUGGGUAUCAAACAGGAUUAGAUACCCGAGUAGUC